UUCAUUUACAAAGAGCACUGGGGGAAAAACAGAGCUGCAAAAUACCAAAAGAUGUUUUCCACAGAACAAACAGAGGAAAAUAUAUUGGAGUCAUCUUCAGCAGAAGACUCUUGCUGUGUUAUGAAACUUUCUACCGGCCUACAGCACAGCUUCUUCUCAGCUCUGAUAAAUCCAGCCUGACCUCCAGCUCCCACAUCUUGCACUGUAGAUUUUGGCAAUGUUCACCUUGAGCUGCUCCAGGUGCCCGGGGGUCUUGUGCACCACAGAAGGCGACCCAGAGAUUCCAUGGAGAACGCGGAGGGAAUAGAUCUGCAUUCAUUGACAAUGGUGAGAUGAAAGGUUAUUCUCGCGUCACAGAGUUUUUUGAGAUCCCUCUUACAUCUCAGCAAGCAUUAUUCAUGAGACUACAAAGCUCUUCUCUGCCAUGUGCAUUCAUUCAUGUUCAAAGCUUGCAAAGGAAUGCUACUUGGUUUCAUGUUCAAGGAAACACUGCCAUAGGAUCAUUUGCUUUUUGUAAUAAAAA